GACGAACGCUGGCGGCGUGCUUAACACAUGCAAGUCGAACGGAAAUGCCCUGCUUGUUUUCUGUGCUCGGGUUGCGAACUAGUGAGUUACACGUGGGUAGCCUACCCUGUGCUUUAGGAUACCUUCAGGAAGGUGUAGCUAAUACCGAAUAGGACCUCCUGCUCCAUGGUUAUGGUUAGAACAUUUCGGUGUUUGGGGAGGGACUCGCGGGUUAUCAGUUUGUUGGGUGGGUAGUGUCUUACCAAGGAUUUGACGGUUAGCCGGCCUGAGAGGGUGACCGGCCACCUUGGGAGUGAGAGAGGCACCAGACUCCUACGGGCGGCAGCAGGGGGGAAUAGUGAACAAUGGGCGGAAGCAUGCUGGAGGAACGAAGGGUGCGGGAAGAAGGCCUUUGGGUUGAAAACAGCUUUCGCCUGUGAAGAAGCGUGAGUGACGGUAAUGGGUAAAGAAGCACCGGCUAACUACGUG
rnacentral:rRNA from 1 species